GUCUGGUUGAUUCCGUUAACGAACGAGACCUUAACCUGCUAACUAGUCGUGCCGUUUCCGAACGGCGGGACGCGUUCCCUGGUUCGGUGCGGUCCGCCGUGCCGUCCCGGGGUUCCGUCUCCGGUCCUCCGGGGCCAGGCGACUUCUUAGAGGGACAUUCGGCGUUUCAGCCGGAGGAGGACUGAGGCAAUAACAGGUCUGUGAUGCCCUUAGAUGUUCUGGGCCGCACGCGCGCUACACUGACGGAGGCAGCGAGCGUGUCCUUCGCCGGCAGGUGCGGGCAAUCUUGCGAGUCUCCGUCGUGCUGGGGAUAGAUGGUUGCAAUUGUCGAUCUUGAACGAGGAAUUCCUAGUAAGCGCGAGUCAUCAGCUCGCGCUGAU
rnacentral:rRNA from 1 species